UACGGAGGGAGCUAGCGUUGUUCGGAAUUACUGGGCGUAAAGCGCGCGUAGGCGGCUUUGUAAGUUAGAGGUGAAAUCCCGGGGCUCAACCCCGGAACUGCCUUUGAUACUGGGUGUCUUGAGUGUGGAAGAGGUCGGUGGAAUUGCGAGUGUAGAGGUGAAAUUCGUAGAUAUUCGCAGGAACACCAGUGGCGAAGGCGGCCGACUGGUCCACAACUGACGCUGAGGUGCGAAAGCGUGGGGAGCAAACAGG
rnacentral:rRNA from 1 species